rnacentral:lncRNA from 1 species
UGGGGAUAAACAACAUGUAAUAUAUUCCAUAAACCUUAUUUUAACAAAACACAAUCACAAAUUCAAAACUGUCAAAACUGAUAAUGGACUAGAGUUCAAAAUCCCUUCUUUUUAUGCAUCACAUGGCAUUGUCCAUCAGACAAGUUAUGUAGAAUCUCUCUAACAAAAUGGGCAUGUCGAGAGGAACACCAACAAAUUAUGAAUAUUGCAAGAGUUACCCUUUUACAAUCCAAUUUACCCAAACCAUAUUGGUCAUAUGUUAUCUUACAUGCCUCAUUCAUUAUGAAUAGAACUCAUAGCUAUAUCCUGAACAACAAAUUU